rnacentral:rRNA from 1 species
CUACCUGAUCCGAGGUCAACCUUUGGAAAAUUGGGGGGUUUUACGGCAAGAGUCCCUCCGGAUCCCAGUGCGAGACGAAAUGUUACUACGCAAAGGAGGCUCCGGGAGGGUCCGCCACUACCUUUGAGGGCCUACGUCGACCGUAGAGCCCCAACACCAAGCAGAGCUUGAGGGUUGAAAUGACGCUCGAACAGGCAUGCCCGCCAGAAUGCUGGCGGGCGCAAUGUGCGUUCAAAGAUUCGAUGAUUCACUGAAUUCUGCAAUUCACAUUACUUAUCGCAUUUCGCUGCGUUCUUCAUCGAUGCCAGAACCAAGAGAUCCGUUGUUAAAAGUUUUGAUUAUUUUGCUUAUGCCACUCAGAAGAAACGUCGUUACAAUAGAGUUUGGUUAUCCUCCGGCGGGCGCCGGGUCCGGUCCCGCGGGGGGUCCGGUCCGGGCCGGGAGGCGUCCUUUUCAGGGGACGGCCUACCCGCCGAAGCAACAGUUGUAGGUAUGUUCACAAAGGGUUAUAGAGCGGUAACUCAGUAAUGAUCACUCCGCAGGUUCACCCUACGGAA